GGCGCUGUGGCUGAGUGGUUAUAGCGAUAGACUAGAAAUCUAUUUCCUUCGGGAGCGCAAGUUCGAGUCUUGCCGGCGUCG
rfam:Coniosporium apollinis CBS 100218 chromosome Tnknown supercont1.2, whole genome shotgun sequence.